UACGUAGGGUGCGAGCGUUGUCCGGAAUUACUGGGCGUAAAGGGCGCGUAGGCGGCACUGUUAGUCAGGCGUGAAAGUCCUGGGCUCAACCUGGGAACUGCGCUUGAUACGGCAGAGCUAGAGGAUGGAAGAGGCUCGCGGAAUUCCCAGUGUAGAGGUGAAAUUCGUAGAUAUUGGGAAGAACACCGGUGGCGAAGGCGGCGAGCUGGUCCAUUACUGACGCUGAGGCGCGACAGCGUGGGGAGCAAACAGG
rnacentral:rRNA from 1 species